rnacentral:rRNA from 1 species
CCCGAGUGCUUGCACUCAAUUGGAAAGAGGAGUGGCGGACGGGUGAGUAACACGUGGGUAACCUGCCCAUCAGAAGGGGAUAACACUUGGAAACAGGUGCUAAUACCGUAUAACACUAUUUUCCGCAUGGAAGAAAGUUGAAAGGCGCUUUUGCGUCACUGAUGGAUGGACCCGCGGUGCAUUAGCUAGUUGGUGAGGUAACGGCUCACCAAGGCAACGAUGCAUAGCCGACCUGAGAGGGUGAUCGGCCACACUGGGACUGAGACACGGCCCAGACUCCUACGGGAGGCAGCAGCAGGGAAUCUUCGGCAAUGGACGAAAGUCUGACCGAGCAACGCCGCGUGAGUGAAGAAGGUUUUCGGAUCGUAAAACUCUGUUGUUAGAGAAGAACAAGGAUGAGAGUAAAAUGUUCAUCCCUUGACGGUAUCUAACCAGAAAGCCACGGCUAACUACGUGCCAGCAGCCGCGGUAAUACGUAGGUGGCAAGCGUUGUCCGGAUUUAUUGGGCGUAAAGCGAGCGCAGGCGGUUUCUUAAGUCUGAUGUGAAAGCCCCCGGCUCAACCGGGGAGGGUCAUUGGAAACUGGGAGACUUGAGUGCAGAAGAGGAGAGUGGAAUUCCAUGUGUAGCGGUGAAAUGCGUAGAUAUAUGGAGGAACACCAGUGGCGAAGGCGGCUCUCUGGUCUGUACUGACGCUGAGCUCGAAGCGUGGGAGCAACAGGAUAGAUACCUGGUAGUCACGCGUAA